rnacentral:misc_RNA from 1 species
CCUAGAGUUGUAGGCUUUGCCUGCUAUCUCUUACCCAUGUCUUUUGAGUACCUUACGUUUCCUCGGUGGGUUCGCCCACCGAUUGGACAAACUUAAACCCUUUGCAGUUGAAAUCAGCGCCUGAAAAAACUUAAUAGUUA